GCGGAUUUAGCUCAGCUGGCAGAGCGGAAGCUUCCCAAGCUUCAGGUCGCGGGUUCGAGCCCCGUAAUCCGCU
rnacentral:tRNA from 1 species